CUUGUAAUCCCAGCACUUUGGGAGGCCAAGAUGGGCAGAUCCUUUGAGGUCAGGAGUUCGAGACAAGCCUGGCCAACAUGAUGAAACCCCAUCUCUACUAAAAAUACAAAAAUUAGCUGGGCUUGGUGGCGGGCACCAAAUCCCAGCUACUCAGGAGGCUGAGGCAUGACAAUAGCUUGAACCUGGGAGGCGGAGGUUGCAGUGAGCCAAGAUCAUGCCACUGCACUCCAGCUUGGGCAACAGAGUGAGACUCAGCCUCAAAAAAUAAAAUAAAAAAUAAAUUUCAACUAUGCCUUCUCCAUUUCCCUCCUCCCUCCAACAUGCAAUAACAACAGCAGUAUUAGGUUCCUUUAGCUGUAAAAUGAAAAUUUCCAAUUGCACCUUAGAAGGAGGCUGGAGGGUAGGAGUUUAUCUGGCACAAGUCUACAAAGCUGACAGGUGCACCAAACACCUGAGGUUGGGAUCAUGGCAGGACAGGUGGGGUUUGGGGUCAUCAGAGGUAAACUGAGGAGGAACUCACUUAGGAGGGAGCAAGUCAAUGCCUUUCAUGUCCUUCAGUCUUUCCUUUAAUCAGUCACUGAGUCAGUUAGGCUGCCAAGAAACACUUAUGAAACAUGGGAAAGGCUUUGCUCUUGAAGGUAAGUAAGGUACCAUCUUUUCUCCUGAAAAGUUGGUACUCUAGAGACUAAUUUCAGAAACAGGCAUCUUGCUCAGGAAUGAGUGGCCAAGUAUGAUUUCACUUAUAAUCACAAGAGUCAGUGUGACUUGAAGUUGGGCUGUAAUCUCAAACUUGUCACUAAGGAGAUAGGUGACCUGCAACAGGUGAAUUUAACCUCUCUGAAGUUCCAUCAGCUCUUCUAAAAUGAAUGACUUGGACAAGAUCAUCUAUAAGACAUCCAUGUGCUCUAAUACUUCAUGACUCUGGACAGGAUAGAGCUCACACUGGGCAGCAGGAAAGUGACGGGAAAGGUCAGCACUGGAGUAGGAGCCUGGACUCAAAUCCCCCCUGCCACGCCCCUGCCAUGGAGCCCUGGGAAGCCACAUGAUGUUUCCUAUCCUCAUUUGUCUCAUUAAUGCAAUAGAGAUCACGGCACCAGCUUUGUCUCCUGUGAGGGACUUUUGUUACAAUCUGUUGAUUUUAAACCACUGUUAUAUUACAUUCAUAGACUAACACUUAGCUGUAAUGCGCUAGAGAAAAAAUCAGGAUCACCAUUAAUCCCCAUCAUUAUCAUUGAGACUCUGGGAUGCUGGAACGUCACAGCCAGCUCCCUCUGUGACACCCUGUGUGAGGCAACAGUGGGGCAGGACUCCGAAAAUGGUUCCAUGCUGUCACUACGACACCCAUGAACUGUGAUGCCUUCCUAAGUGCUAGACUGUGAUUAGGGUGGAGGUCCUGCAGUCACUGGGGUCUCAUAAGUCAUGAGAGUCAUGCUGCUCUCUCAAACCUACAUAGCUACAAGUAGUGGGUAUGUGCCUUGCACACGCCACUUAACCUCUCCCAGCCUUGGAGGUCUCUUCCGCCUAAAGUAGGUUAGUAACGGUAAGCAUAGUCAACACGUACCAUUAUGUAGUCUGUGCCAUACGCACAGCAAGCAACCAACGAGGUGUGUGGAGGCUGAAAUUCAGCCCCAGCUACAUUCGCCAAGCCUCACAACUACGGGGCUGCAUUGUCACUGAAGAGGCAACUUUUUCUAAUUCAUCAUCCCAGAGAGGACUGAUGUGAAUUUUCUAAAUCACAGCAAGGUGCUGUUUGUGUUAACAGUGACCUUGGUAGUACCUGCUGAGAAGCCUGGGCAUUAAGUACGAACAUACACGGAGUCCUUAGCACAGUGCCAGGAAUACAACAGAGUCCAAUACUGGGUAGCUGUUAAUGUUAAAAUAUUAUUCAUUCAUUCAUUCAUUCAUUCAUUAAUUCAUUCACUCAGCAAGCAUUCAUUGUGCACCUCCUGUAUACGAGCUACAUGCUAGGGCAGCUGGCAUGUCUG
rnacentral:lncRNA from 1 species